UACGGAGGGUGCAAGCGUUAUCCGGAUUCACUGGGUUUAAAGGGAGCGUAGGUGGGAUGGUAAGUCAGUGGUGAAAUCUCCGGGCUUAACUCGGAAACUGCCGUUGAUACUAUCAUUCUUGAAUAUUGUGGAGGUAAGCGGAAUAUGUCAUGUGGCGGUGAAAUGCUUAGAUAUGACAUAGAACACCAAUAGCGAAGGCAGCUUGCUGCACAAUUAUUGACACUGAGGCUCGAAAGCGUGGGGAUCAAACAGG
rnacentral:rRNA from 1 species